AGAGUUGGCGAGGUGGUUGCAGAUUUGUCCUAGAGGCAGAUUUGAGGAAAGUCCGGACUCCCGAAAGACCAUACUUGCUGGAUAAUUCCCAGUGCGAGCGAUCGCGAGGAUAGUGCCACAGAAAAAUACCGCCUUUUCAAUGAGCAAUAAACAGCAACAACUGAUAAUUGAUUAGGUAAGGGUGCAAAGGUGCGGUAAGAGCGCACCAGCAGUAUCGAGAGGUGCUGGCUCGGUAAACCCCAGUAGGGAGCAAGGUCGAAGGGAUUAGGGUUGGUCUUUUUCCCAUCCCGACCAAGGAGAACCGCAUGAGGUGUUUGGUAACAAGCAUCCUAGAUAGAUAACUACCCUCGGAUUAUAAAUCACGAUAAUCUGAGAACAGAAUCCGGCUUACGUUUCAACUCUCUUG
rnacentral:RNase_P_RNA from 1 species